rnacentral:rRNA from 1 species
GAUGAACGCUGGCGGCGUGCCUAAUACAUGCAAGUCGAGCGAACGGACGAGAAGCUUGCUUCUCUGAUGUUAGCGGCGGACGGGUGAGUAACACGUGGAUAACCUACCUAUAAGACUGGGAUAACUUCGGGAAACCGGAGCUAAUACCGGAUAAUAUUUUGAACCGCAUGGUUCAAAAGUGAAAGACGGUCCUGCUGUCACUUAUAGAUGGAUCCGCGCUGCAUUAGCUAGUUGGUAAGGUAACGGCUUACCAAGGCAACGAUGCAUAGCCGACCUGAGAGGGUGAUCGGCCACACUGGAACUGAGACACGGUCCAGACUCCUACGGGAGGCAGCAGUAGGGAAUCUUCCGCAAUGGGCGAAAGCCUGACGGAGCAACGCCGCGUGAGUGAAGAAGGUCUUCGGAUCGUAAAACUCUGUUAUUAGGGAAGAACAUAUGUGUAAGUAACUGUGCACAUCUUGACGGUACCUAAUCAGAAAGCCACGGCUAACUACGUG